rnacentral:rRNA from 1 species
AUUGAACGCUGGCGGCAGGCCUAACACAUGCAAGUCGAGCGGAGCGGCGGAAGGGUGAGUAAUGCCUAGGAAUCUGCCUGGUCGUGGGGGAUAACGUCCGGAAACGGGCGCUAAUACCGCAUACUAUCAGAUGAGCCUAGGUCGGAUUAGCUAGUUGGUGGGGUAAAGGCCUACCAUGGCGACGAUGCGUAACUGGUAUGAGAGGAUGAUCAGUCACCCGGGAACGGAGGCUCGGCGGAGACUCCUACGGUGGGCAGCAGUGGGGAAUAUUGGACAAUGGGCGAAAGCCUGAUCCAGCCAUGCGGAGUGUGUGAAGAAGGUCUUCGGAUUGGAAAGCACUUUAAGUUGGGAAGCGUUACCAACAGAAUAAGCACCGGCUAACUUCGUGCCAGCAGCCGCGGUAAUAC